GAUGAACGCUGGCGGCGUGCCUAAUACAUGCAAGUCGAGCGAACAGAUGAGGAGCUUGCUCCUCUGGCGUUAGCGGCGGACGGGUGAGUAACACGUGGAUAACCUACCUAUGAGACUGGGAUAACUUCGGGAAACCGGAGCUAAUACCGGAUAAUAUAUUUAACCGCAUGGUUCAAUAUUGAAAGACGGUUUUGCUGUCACUUAUAGAUGGAUCCGCGCCGCAUUAGCUAGUUGGUAAGGUAACGGGUUACCAAGGCAAGGAUGCGUAGCGGACAUGAAGGGGGGAUGGGCCAGACGGGAAGUGAGACAGGGUCCAGACUCUUACGGUAGGCAGCAGUAGGGAAUCUUACGCAAGGGGCGAAAGCCUGACGGAGCACCGCCGCGUGAGUGAUGAAGGUCUGCGGAUCGUAAAACUAUGUUAUUAGGGAAGAACAAAUGUGUAAGUAACUAUGCACGUCUUGACGGUACCUAAACAGAAAGCCACGGCUAACUACGUG
rnacentral:rRNA from 1 species